UACGAGUACCCCAAGCGUUAUCCGGAAUCAUUGGGCGUAAAGGGUGUGUAGGCGGUGUUGUUAGCCUUCUGUCAAAGCCUCGGGCUCAACCCGAGACCUGCAGGGGAAACGGCAAUACUUGAGGGUGCGAGAGGUGAAUGGAACUCAUGGAGUAGGGGUGAAAUCCGUUGAUAUCAUGGGGGACACCAAAGGCGAAGGCAAUUCACUGGCGCAUUUCUGACGCUGAAACACGAAAAGCGUGGGUAGCGAACGGGG
rnacentral:rRNA from 1 species